AUACGUAGGGAGCGAGCGUUGUCCGGAUCUACUGGGUGUAAAGGGUGCGUAGGCGGCUGAGCAAGUCAGGUGUGAAAACCAUCGGCUUAACUGAUGGACUGCAUUUGAAACUGCUUGGCUUGAGUGGAGCAGAGGCAGGCGGAAUUCCCGGUGUAGCGGUGAAAUGCGUAGAGAUCGGGAGGAACACCAGUGGCGAAGGCGGCCUGCUGGGCUUUAACUGACGCUGAGGCACGAAAGCAUGGGUAGCAAACAGGAUUAGAUACCCUGGUAGUCCAUGCCGUAAACGAUGAUUACUAGGUGUGGGUGGUCUGACCCCAUCCGUGCCGGAGUUAACACAAUAAGUAAUCCACCUGGGAAGUACGACCGCAAGGUUGAA
rnacentral:rRNA from 1 species